UUUUUCAACAAGGGGUGCCUAAGAAAUGAGAUAAUUUCAUUUCUAUCUGUAAACACAGAUCAAUACAACGGGCUGAGAUCAUACCCUAUAACCUGAUCCGGGUAAUGCCGGCGUAGGUAGAGUGCAUUCCCUUUUU
rfam:Porphyromonadaceae bacterium OTH 308042 contig46, whole genome shotgun sequence.